rnacentral:rRNA from 1 species
GAUGAACGCUGGCGGCGUGCCUAAUACAUGCAAGUCGAGCGAACGGACGAGAAGCUUGCUUCUCUGAUGUUAGCGGCGGACGGGUGAGUAACACGUGGAUAACCUACCUAUAAGACUGGGAUAACUUCGGGAAACCGGAGCUAAUACCGGAUAAUAUUUUGAACCGCAUGGUUCAAAAGUGAAAGACGGUCUUGCUGUCACUUAUAGAUGGAUCCGCGCUGCAUUAGCUAGUUGGUAAGGUAACGGCUUACCAAGGCAACGAUGAAUAGCCGACCUGAGAGGGGGGUCGGCCACACUGGAACUGAGACACGGUCCAGACUCCUACGGGAGGCAGCAGUAGGGAAUCUUCCGCAAUGGGCGAAAGCCUGACGGAGCAACGCCGCGUGAGUGAUGAAGGUCUUCGGAUCGUAAAACUCUGUUAUUAGGGAAGAACAUAUGUGUAAGUAACUGUGCACAUCUUGACGGUACCUAAUCAGAAAGCCACGGCUAACUACGU